UACGGAGGGGGCUAGCGUUGUUCGGAAUUACUGGGCGUAAAGCGCACGUAGGCGGCUUUGUAAGUUAGAGGUGAAAGCCCGGAGCUCAACUCCGGAAUUGCCUUUAAGACUGCAUCGCUCGAAUCAUGGAGAGGUGAGUGGAAUUCCGAGUGUAGAGGUGAAAUUCGUAGAUAUUCGGAGGAACACCAGUGGCGGAAGGCGGCUCACUGGCUCGGUACUGACGCUGAGGUGCGAAAGCGUGGGGAGCAAACAGG
rnacentral:rRNA from 1 species